UGGGGCCGGAAGAGGGAAUUCCUCCUGGCCUUCUUCACCCCAGGAAGAGCUCCUCGUUCUGUUGAUAAUUUGAGGAAUAUUGUGCUCUGUGGCACCUUCCUGUCUAAACACGUUCACAGCCAUUUUGAUGGGCUUCUGGGUGAAGGAGAGAGGCCUCUCCAAACAUUCCCAGGGGGACGGCUCACCCCACCUGGCUCAGGUGCCCACAUGUAGAUAUAGAUUGUGGAGGGUGACAUCCUUCAAUCAGCAAGACUGAAAACGGGACUCAGAACUCUUGUGCUUGGGACAAAGAAUCUGCAAUUGGUUUUUGGAAAGAGCAAAAUGAGGGUGGAUUCAGUUGAGGUUACAGAGUGGGCCUCUCCUGCUGACUCCUAUGAGGUGGGAGCCAGGUGUCAGGUGCAGAGCUGGAGAAAAAUGCACUGGAAUGGGGCAUCAGGGGCAGAGGUGGGGAGACAUGCAUUGGAGUUGUGGCAUCAGGAGCAGAGCCGGGAAGAAAUGCAUUAGAUCCAUAGUGUUAGCAGCAGAGCUGGGGAGAAAUGCACUGGAAUGGGGCAUCAGGUGCAGAGCUGGGGAGACAUGCAUUGGAGCUGCAGCAUCAGGGGCAGAGCUGGGGAGACAUGCAUUGGAGCUGCAGUGUCAGGAGCAGAGCUUGGGAGAAAUGCACUGGAGUCGUGGCAUCAGGAGCAGAGUUAAAAAUGCUUACAAGAAGGAUGAAGAGAUAAAAGCUCAUAAACCGAAAAGAAGUCACGUGCAUGGUGGAAUGGUGGAAUCUGUUCAGAAUCACAGAGCUGCACCCUGCACUGUGGAUCAGGGAAGUGUGUGCUCUGAGAUGGAUGUGGUCCUGUGCCUCCAACAUCCUCCCUGCUCCCCACCUCCUGCCCUGGUUGCAGGGGGUGUCUCUGUGCUCAGCCACAGUCCACUCUGAGCCUGUAUAGUUUCUUCCUCAGAAACAUACAAUUUAGGCUGACCUACAGUUUAAUGUGUAAAAGAAGAGAUGGUCGAUGACCAGUGCCCCACUGUAGUAAUAAAAUGUCUAGACAGCAAUUAACACUCAUUUCCCCUAAGAAUGUCACUGCGUCAUCAGAAAAUCUCGACUGCUUUAAAAGGAAGCAGUCUAGGUAUAUUUCAUCAUUAAUCAAUUUCUAAAUCUGAUCAGAAUUUGCACAGGUUGCAGUCGUAGGACCAGACCUGCCCCCACUCCCAGCGCCUCUGGGCCCCUUACCUGGGGUCCGAGCGUCCCUCAUCCUGGCAAACAGGGCUGGAGAUUUGUUUGGGAAUGAGGGGUCCGGGCGUCCCUCAUCCUGGCAAACAGGGCUGGAUAUUUGUUUGGGAAUGGGGGGUCUGGGCGUCCCUUAUUCUGGCAAACAGGGCUGGAGAUUUGUUUGGGAAUGCUGCCUGUUUGAAGGAGGCACUGCUUUCGGUUUCUCUGUUUGCUUUCUGUUCAACUGCUAAUCCUUUUGUACUUGGAGCUAGAAGCCAAGCCUGGGACCAGCUGGCAGGUGGUUUAUCAGGACCACCUGAGUGCCCUGUCC
rnacentral:lncRNA from 1 species